GAUUGAGGGGGGCUGCUCCUAGUACGAGAGGACCGGAGUGGACGCAUCACUGGUGUUCGGGUUGUCAUGCCAAUGGCACUGCCCGGUAGCUAAAUGCGGAAAAGAUAAGUGCUGAAAGCAUCUAAGCACGAAACUUGCCCCGAGAUGAGUCUUCCCUGAGACUUUGAGUCUCCUGAAGGAACGUUAAAGACGAUGACGUUGAUAGGCCGGGUGUGUAAGCGCAGCGAUGCGUUGAGCUAACCGGUACUAAUGAACCGUGAGGCUUAACCUUACAACGCCGAAGGUGUUU
rnacentral:rRNA from 1 species